rnacentral:lncRNA from 7 species
UAGACUGGUGGUGAAUGGUCAUCUGCAGUUUCUAACAUGAAAGAUGCCAAAGUCCAUGAUUAUUUCUAAGGUCCAAGACCUGAAUUCUAACAACUUCCCCUUGUCACUAUCAGACAUGGGUCUGUGGGCACUGCUGCCAGCACAGUGGCUUGCUUCCUGGCUGCUUUGUUUCUGAACAGUGCUCCUUUUCUCCUCUUACUACAGGAUAUCCAGUUGGUUGUGAGUGGGUUUCUCACUCAGCUCCAGCACUGUGGCCCAGACCUCCAGUUACGUCUGUAGCCCUACGGCUUUGCAUAGCUGUUCUCAGAGGAGGCGUCAUGUAUUGAGUUCUGCUGUUCAAAGGGAAUUUGAUCUAGGAGUGAAGAGAAAACUUGUAAAACCUCACUGCCUUUCUCCCAGGCCACCAGAUGCAGCUGGCCAAGGAAAUAACUCGUAGGCAGUGAAGUCCUCCAGCUUUAGAGUGAAAAUACCCUGAUACUCAUUGCAUCCCAGACCUUUGCAGCUUGCUGGGUAAGUGGAGCUGGUGGCUGUCCUUAUCUCCUCACUGGGAGAUGAGACGUGGCUCAACCACGGACUGAACAAAUGAGCAGAUAAGGUUAUCCAUGUCCUCACCCACACCUUUCUUUGCUCAGUGAUUUGGACUUCUCCUGUAUCUUCCUCAAGUGUGUUGUUUUCUACUACAUCUUGUGGUAACAAGUGAAAGCUUUAAAAAAGCAUUUCCUUCAGAAAUUACAGUUUAAACUC